rnacentral:rRNA from 1 species
UACGGAGGGUGCGAGCGUUGUCCGGAAUCACUGGGCGUAAAGGGCGCGUAGGCGGCCUGAUAAGUAGGGGGUGAAAUCCUGCGGCUUAACCGCAGGGCUGCCUUCUAAACUGUCAGGCUAGAGCACAGUAGAGGCAGGUGGAAUUCCCGGUGUAGCGGUGGAAUGCGUAGAGAUCGGGAAGAACAUCAGUGGCGAAGGCGGCCUGCUGGGCUGUUGCUGACGCUGAGGCGCGACAGCGUGGGGAGCAAACCGG